CUGGGGACGAAUUGAAAGCCCUUUACUAUAAUAGAAAGGGUUAUUAUAGUAUAAAUGCAAUGGUGAUAUGUGACCAUAAAAUGCGUAUAACAUUUGUCGACGCUAGACAUCCCGGAAGCAACCAUGAUGCAUUUGUAUGGGAAAGGAGUGAUCCAGACAAGUGUAUGCAAAGGGAGUUUGACAAUGGAAAACGAAACUUUUGGAUUCUCGGGGAUGGAGGAUACAAAUUGAAGCC